AGAAGACCAUCGGGACUUGCCAAGUGGCCCCAGCUCAUGGGGUUCAUUCCUUCUUCUCUUAUUGUGUUUAAAAGUGGUAUAAUUAGCAACUUGUUGAAAAUGCUGGCUUACUUCCCGUUACCAGGGCUCAGCACGCCAUACUCCCAAUCAUUGGUCCAAGCAGACAUGUUUACUAAGUGAGUGGGGGAUGAGAAAGAGAAAGGACAGAUGUGAGGGAAAUAGACAGAGCUGAAUAGCACCUCACAAUGAAACACACGAACUCCUGGGAAAUUCUCAUUUUAACACAACUGUAGUUCCCAUGCGUUGGAACCUAAUGUUUACCUUCAUAACGGCUCCAUCAGAAAGGCACUGUCAUCAUAUGAGAAAACCAAGGGUGAAAGAUUAGCUCAUUUCUGUGUUGGCCAAUCAAGGUCUUCCCAGGACUUCAUCAGCAUGAGACCAGCUCCACCUCCACACCUAACACAGCAGGUCUCCUCCAAUUUCCCAAGAAUCCUCUCUGAAGUCUGGCAGACCUUGUAUUCAGCUGUAUAAAUGCUGCCUUCAUCAGCAACCAAGACUUCAUCUUCCCAGGCCCUCUUUGAGCCAGCCCCACCUACACCCAAUCCUGGCUGCUUGAAUUACAAACACACCUAGAGAAGGGCUUGUGACCCCUAGACCUGGCCCACCAGUGGCUUCUGCCAUCCAAAUACAGCUUGGCCCUGACAGGUACUUAGUAACCUGGUAUUUGUCCUUCAUCCACUCCCUGACUCCUUCCCCAGAACAACAGUUAAAGACCUUCUCACCUUGUCUUCAGCCCCAUUCCUGGUUGAAUAAUACCCUUCUCCUCCUUCACCGAAUAGCCAGAGCCCUUCUAGAGUCAACUUUGCUCUGAGGCCCCCUUUAUCUGCAUGCAUCCCUUUCUCCUGCCUCUCCCCCUUCCUUUCCCUUGUCUUAAGACCUAUUCCCCCUCAACAAUCCUCUACAAAUCCUGCCCUGGGUGUUUCCUUCCUCUGCUGAGGUCCUGAAGCACUUCUUAUUGGCAACCUUCAUUUGGCUUUGAAGGUACAUUGCCAAAUAUCCCUUAUCUUUUUUUUUUCCCUUUUCUUCUCUUCAUAUUUUAAAUUGCACAAACAACAGUCUGGCUCAUCUCUUUCUAUGCACAUAUCCUGUCUACCCAACCCAAUUGGGUGUCCUCCAAUGCUUUGUCCUUCCCAUCUGCUCAUCUCCCUCCUAAUGAUUCCCUUGGAGAGGGCUCAUCCACUUGCAGAGCACCAUGGAUACUACACAGAUUCUUGCCACCAAACCUUGUUCAAGCCCCCCUGGCCUUACCGGCCUUUCUCCUUCUCCCAAUUAAUCGAAAUCUGCACUCUUUCCUCAAGGCCACCUCACAUUCCAAUCAAGCCUUCUCCAACAAACACAGAUCCACAACUACCUGUUUCUCCUCUGACUUUCUAUAGAUAUUUUAAUGCUUAUAUAUAGUCUUGUUUUAUUGGACCUCCUUUUGGACCGUAAAUACAGUGAGAGUUUCCUGAGGACAACGACCAAGGCCUCAGCGUUGUGUUUCCCUAACAUGGUGCUAGGUAUUCUGAGGGUGCUUAUUCAUUACGUGCUAUCUAU
rnacentral:lncRNA from 10 species